GCGGGUGUAGCUCAAUUGGCAGAGCAGAAGCCUUCCAAGCUUCAGGUUGAGGGUUCGACCCCUUCGCCCGCU
rnacentral:tRNA from 1 species